rnacentral:rRNA from 1 species
GACGAACCGUCCAAACGUUAUUCGGAAUCACUGGGCUUACAGAGUUCGUAGGCGGUCUGGAAAGUUGGGUGUGAAAUCCCUCGGCUCAACCGAGGAACUGCGCUCAAAACUACCCGACUCGAGGGAGAUAGAGGAAAGCGAAACUGAUGGUGGAGCGGUGAAAUGCGUUGAUAUCACCAGGAACACCGGUGGCGAAGGCGGCUUUCUGGGUCUUGCCUGACGCUGAGGAACGAAAGCUAGGGGAGCGAACGGG